GACGAACGCUGGCGGCGUGCUUAACACAUGCAAGUCGAACGGAAAGGCCCUGCUCUUGUGGGUUUCUCGAGUGGCGAACGGGUGAGUAACACGUGAGUAUCCUGCCCUUGACUUUGGGAUAACUUCAGGAAACUGGGGCUAAUACCGGAUAUGAUCUCCUGCUGCAUGGUGGGGGUUGGAAAGUUUCGGCGGUUGGGGAUGGACUCGCGGCUUAUCAGCUUGUUGGUGGGGUAGUUGCUUACCAAGCCUUUGACGGGUAGCCGGCCUGAGAGGGUUACCGGCCACAAUGGGACUGAGAUACGGACCAGACUGCUACGGGAGGCAGCAGUGGGGAAUAUUGCACAAUGGGCGGAAGCCUGAGGCAGCAACGCCGCGUGCGGGAUGACGGCCUUCGGGUUGUAAACCGCUGUCGCCGGAGACGAAGCGUGAGUGACGGUAAUGGGUAAAGAAGCACCGGCUAACUACGUG
rnacentral:rRNA from 1 species